rnacentral:rRNA from 1 species
UACAGAGGGUGCUAGCGUUGUUCGGAAUCAUUGGGCGUAAAGAGCGUGUAGGCGGCCAGGUAGGUCUGCUGUGAAAACUCGAGGCUCAACCUCGAGACGUCGGCGGAAACCAUCUGGCUAGAGUCCGGAAGAGGAGAGUGGAAUUCCUGGUGUAGCGGUGAAAUGCGCAGAUAUCAGGAAGAACACCCGUGGCGAAGGCGGCUCUCUGGGACGGUACUGACGCUGAGACGCGAAAGCGUGGGGAGCGAACAGG